rnacentral:rRNA from 1 species
AUGUCCUGUACGAGCUAUCUAAUCAGAAAAGUGCUAAUAUUUCCAACAGACGGCACGGCCGUCGUCCAGCCGAGCGGGCUCCUGGAGCUGACAAACGGCACGGCCCAGCUCUCGAGCCACGUGGUCCACCGGACGCCGCUGCGCCUCCGGAGGUCCCCGGGCAACGGCGUGCGCUCCUUCUCGGCGUCCUUCGUGUUCGGCAUCAUUCCCCCGUACUCCGACCUCAGCGGCCACGGCAUCGUCUUCUUCGUCGGCAAGGACAACUUCUCGGCCGUGCUGCCGAGCCAGUACCUGGGCCUCCUCAACAGCGCCAACAACGGCAACGCCACCAACCACAUCUUUGGCGUCGAGCUCGACGCCAUCCAGAGCAAGGAGUUCCAGGACCCUGACGACAACCACGUCGUCAUCGACGUCAACAGCCUGCAAUCCAUCGCCGCGCGCCACGCCGGCUACUACGACGACAAGACCGGUGCGUUCCAUGACCUGCUUCUCAUCAGCGGCAAGGCUAUGCAGGUCUGGGUGGACUACGACAGCGGGUCCACGCAGAUCAUGUUGGAUUAUGGAUGGCUGAAGAAUGGCGCCAAGCCUUCGACGCCCCUGGUGUACGCGGAGGUGCGGGAGGACUGGGAGGUGGAGUUCGGGCCGCACAGGUUCACGUACAAGGACCUGUUCCGCGCCACGGAAGGGUUCAAGAACAAGACGCUGCUGGGCUUCGGCGGCUUCGGGAGGGUGUACAAGGGGGUGCUCCCCAAGUCCAAGCUGGAGGUGGCGGUGAAGAAGGUGUCGCACGAGUCGAGGCAGGGCAUCAAGGAGUUCGUGGCGGAGGUGGUCACCAUCGGCCGGCUCCGGCACCGCAACAUGGUGCAGCUGCUCGGCUACUGCCGCCGGAAGGGGGAGCUGCUCCUGGUGUACGACUACAUGUCCAACGGCAGCCUGGACAAGUACCUGUACGGCGGCAGCAAGGACAAGGAGAAGACGGCGCUGGACUGGGCGCAGAGGUUCCGGAUCAUCAAGGGCGUGGCGUCGGGCCUGCCGUACACCCACGAGGACUUCGAGCAGGUGAUCAUCCACCGGGACAUCAAGGCCAGCAACGUGCUGUACGACCACGGCGCCGACCCGCAGACGACGCACGUGGUGGGCACCAUGGGGUACCUGGCCCCGGAGCUGGCGCGGACGGGGAAGGUGUCCCCUCUCACCGACGUGUUCGCCUUCGGCUUCUUCAUCCUCGAGGUGGCCUGCGGCCGGAGGCCCGUGGAGCAGGCCAUGAACGACAGCCGGCUCAUGCUGGUGGACUGGGUGCUGGAGCACUGGCAGAAGGAGGCGCUCCUCGAGGUGGUCGACGCGAGGCUCGACGGAAACUAUGACGCCGGCGAGGUGGUUCUGGCGCUGAAGCUUGGUCUGAUGUGCUCGCACCCCAUGCCCGGCGCGUGGCCUAGCAUGCGGCAGGUGAUGCAGUACCUGGAGGGUGACAUGCCGAUCCCCGAGCUGACACCCACGCAGAUGAGUUUCAGUAUGCUGGCCCUGAUGCAGAGCCAAGGGUUUGACUCUUUCGUCUUGUCGGCGGCGUCGGAUCCGUCGUCGGCCACGAAUACGACGAUGACCAUGGGCACAAUCAGUGGACUCUCAGGAGGGAGAUGA